UACGUAGGGGGCGAGCGUUGUCCGGAGUUACUGGGCGUAAAGGGCAUGCAGGCGGUCGGACGCGUUUUGUGUGACAGCGGGUGGCUUAACUACCCGAGUAUGCGAAAGACGGUCUGACUUGAGGGCUCGAGAGGGACACGGAAUUCCGGGUGGAGUGGUGAAAUGCGUAGAGAUCCGGAGGAACACCAAAGGCGAAGGCAGUGUCCUGGCGAGCAUCUGACGCUGAGGUGCGAAAGCUAGGGGAGCGAACGGG
rnacentral:rRNA from 1 species